rnacentral:lncRNA from 1 species
UAAAUACAUCAGCUCCUUCUUCUCAAGGUGGAUUCUGAUGCAUGUCCUUUGUUUCUCCCCAAGGGCCCAGUAGGACAAGUGCCUCACAGACACAGCUGGGACCGCCACAACUUUGUAUUGGUGCUAUUCCUUUCCUGGCUUGCUUCCCCAACUGUAGCACAAUUUUUCACAAUGUCACCUUCCAAAUAUGCUGCCUACAAAUGACUCCUUCUUUCAGAUAA